rnacentral:rRNA from 1 species
GCAGCCGCGGUAAUACGGAGGAUGCGAGCGUUAUCCGGAUUUAUUGGGUUUAAAGGGUGCGUAGGCUGAAUGUCAAGUCAGCGGUAAAAAUUCCGGGCUCAACCCGGUCGUGCCGUUGAAACUGGCGUUCUCGAGUGAGCGAGAAGUACGCGGAAUGCGUGGUGUAGCGGUGAAAUGCAUAGAUAUCACGCAGAACUCCGAUUGCGAAGGCAGCGUACCGGCGCUCAACUGACGCUGAAGCACGAAGGCGUGGGGAUCAAACAGGAUUAGAUACCCC